GUAAAUUCAAGUUCAGGAAUUGUCACAGAUUCAAAAGAUUCAAAAGGAUCAUUGUGUUUUAAUGGGAGUGCAGUUUCUAGGGGAGGUGCUAUCUGGAGACAUCAUCUGCUAGACAGUGAAGGUUUGCUGUCUAACAGUCUGUGCGGCAGGGGAACUAAUCCACUGCAUAAUGGUGCUCAGCUUUUUACUUUUCUUCUGCACUCUUGCAUGUGUCAGUUUUGGGAAUGUCAUCACGCCAGUCCAAACUGAGGUGUUUUGGACAGAGGGACGCAAUAUAACUCUGUCCUGUAACUACUCUUCAGCGAUUAGUCUGCAGUGGUAUCGCCAAUAUCACGGUUCAGCUCCUGAAUUUCUUUUGAUAAUCCUACAUGGGACAGGGAAAGUUUCACAGAAGUCUAACAUUGUGGAAACAGAUCCUCGAUUCUCUGGAAAACUGAAUGAAAAGAAAACCCGUGUGGAUCUGGAGAUCUCCUCUGCUAAAGUGACAGACUCUGCUCUGUACUACUGUGCUCUG